rnacentral:rRNA from 1 species
UAGUACCUACGGGGGGCAGCAGUGAGGAAUAUUGGUCAAUGGGCUAAGGCCUGAACCAGCCAAGUCGCGUGAGGGAAGACGGUCCUAUGGAUUGUAAACCUCUUUUGUCGGGGAGCAACGAGGCCACGUGUGGCCGAAGUGAGAGUACCCAAAGAAAAAGCAUCGGCUAACUCCGUGCCAGCAGCCGCGGUAAUACGGAGGAUGCGAGCGUUAUCCGGAUUUAUUGGGUUUAAAGGGUGCGUAGGCGGCAUUAUAAGUUAGUGGUAAAAUAUUGGGGCUUCACCUCACUACGCCAUUAAUACUGU